rnacentral:rRNA from 1 species
CAGUAGCCGCGGGAAUACGAACCGUGCGAACGUUAUUCGGAAUCACUGGGCUUAAAGCGCGUGUAGGCGGUCCGUCACGUCGGCUGCUGAAAUCCCCCGGCUCAACCGGGGAAGUGGCACCGAUACGAGCGGCCUUGAGAGGGGUAGGGGGGUCUGGAACUUCCGGUGGAGCGGUGAAAUGCGUUGAGAUCGGAAGGAACGCCCGUGGCGAAAGCGAGGCCCUGGACCCUUUCUGACGCUGAGACGCGAAAGCCAGGGGAGCGAACGGGAUUAGAUACCCGAGUAGUCCCUGUCUCUUAUA